rnacentral:lncRNA from 1 species
ACAUGCUCAUACUCUCCACCUUGUGAAGGAGCCUGCUUCCCCUUCUGCCAUGAUCAUAAGUUUCCUGAGGCCUCCCCAGCCAUGCAGAGCUGUGAGUCAAUUAAACCUCCUUUGUUUAUAAAUUACCUAUUUUUUUUGAGACAGAGUCUUACUCUGUUCCCCAAGCUGAAGUGCAGUGACAGUGGUGCGAUCUCAGUUCACUGCAACCUCUGCCUCCUGGGUUCAAGCAAUUAUUGUGCCUCAGCCUCCCAAGUAGCUGGGAUUACAGGAGCACGCCACUAUGCCCAGCUAAUUUUUUGUAUUUUUAGUAGAGAUGGAGUUUUGCCAUGUUGGUCAGGCUGGUCUCAAACUCCUACCUCAAGUGAUCUGCCUGCCUCGGCCUCCCAAAGUGCUGGAACUACAGGUGUGAGCAACCUCACCCAGCCUCAGUUCCUUCCCACGCUCACACUCUCUCCUACUGCCUUGUGAAGAAGGUGACUGCUUCCCCUUCUGCCAUGAUUGUAACUUUGCUGAGGCCUCCCCAGCUAUGCAGAACUGUGAGUCAAUUAAACCUCCUUUGUUUAUAAAUUACCCCUCUCAGCUAUUUCUUUAUAGCUGUGUGAAAAUGGACUCAUACAGCAUGUACAGAGAAUACAAAAAAUGAAAUCAGGGUCAGACAUUUACCAUUUUUGACCUGGUACAUGGGUAAAGGAUUACUUCUAAACUUGCUUUUAGAUCUUAAAUCCUUUGUACUUCACAGGGGUGCAGGGAGAAUCCUGAGGUGGCUCUGAGACCUGCUCCCUGGUGUACCUGCUCUGCACUCCCUAGGCCUGGGGCUGGGAUGGAUUUUACCCUGUGCCUAGGUGAUGUCCAUGGCACAGCUGACUCCUUAAAGGGGGAACAUCUGGGUGAGCCUGGCCUAGCUAGGCUUGUGAAGGGCACUGGGCCUUCUUGGAGAAAGAUGUGAAGCGUGACAGGGAUUUGACACAGGGCCAUUAUCUGUUGCUGGGUUGGAGGAUGGAGGGGGCCACGUGGAAAGGAAUGUGGGUAGCAUCCUGGGGCUGAGAGCAUCCCCGGGCUGACAGCAGGUGAAAGAAAAGGGGCCUCCAUCCCACAAUCACUAGGUGCCUGAACUCUGGCAAUGACCUGAAGGGCCCUCACACAGAUUCUUCUCCAGUGCCUCCAGAAAACAACGCAGCUCUGCGACCCCUGAUCUCAGCCUCAUGGAAUACUGGGCAGAGAAUCCAGUCACAGCUUGCCUACACUUCUGCCCUACAAACUGGAAGCUGAUAAAUUUGUUUCAUUUUAAACUGUUAUGUUUGUGGUUAUCUAUUACACAGCAAUAUGGGCUUAUUCCAAACAGGCUGUAUGAAUUCAGGUCCCUGACCAAAUCUGGUUGACUGUAAAAAUGAAAAAGGACAACCUGAGUGCCUUACCUUACGUAAAUAUUUCCUAACUCCUGCCCUGUGUCUGUGGCAGACACCCUGCUCCGCUGAGUUUGGGUGCUAUUACUCCGGAAAAUCUAGUCAUCUGCAGAAACCAUUUCAGCUACCUUCUGUCCUGGGAUACACUGUAACAAACCAUUUCACCCAAGGCAUUGUUUCCUCUGGUUCAGCUCAGGGGAGUAUCAACAUCUUAGGGGUGUUAUCAAGAUUGUUAACAAAACAAACGCAGCAGCUCUUACCAUGGACAAUGGUGAAUGAGGUCCGUUAUCUGCCUUAGUCCCUGCCCAUCCCCACAUUCCCAGCACCACACUCUCAACUCCGGAGUCCAGCAAGCUGGUAUGCAUGGCAGACCUUAAAACCCAGUGAUGGAGUUUAUCAUCUCAAAUCAGGUACAGUGUCUAAUACUUAGAAUACUAUGGGCUUUCUUCUUAUAUUCUGAUCUACAUACAUGCAAGAAACACAAACUAAUGCUAACCAAAGCAACAUAGGAAAAGUAAAUAUUCCUAAUUAGCAUGUAAUCACAUGCAUAGUAUUUCCUCUGUGCAUUCUGCUCAUACUGUUGCCAGUACUGGGUGCCCUCUCUCCAUUUCCUGCUACCUCAUCCCACAUGUGUUUACGUGAAGACGGUCUGCCACAGUGGGAAGAGUUUCUUGUGCUCACAGGUUUUGGGCUAGGCCCAACUCAGGUCCUACACUCCUAGCGCCUCUUGGCACAGCCCUCUGGUCUACCUCUACGUUCAGCUGCAGCUAUGGAAGCCAGUUCUGUGUGCGCUCAUUGGGAUGCACAGAGGGUCCCACCUCACAGCCACGCCUGUGUGGCUGUUUUUCUGGUCAGAGUAUUCUCUGAAUCUCAGGGAACCUAGCCAGCACAGCCCAGUUUUGUGGAAUUAAGGCAGUUCUCAACCAACAUGUGACAGAGGUCAGUGUCUCAGGACCCUGGUCUAACAUCCUUUGGGUGGACGAUUCUAGGAGGCGUUCUCAACACUUCUCAGAGAUCCUGGUACGACGGCACAUCCUCACUGGCUUUAGCAGCUUCCUGCUUUUAGCUUCUUUUCCUCGCUGUCUCACUUUCCCUGUCCCUCGCUCCUGCUUCUUGGAAUCGCCUCCCAAAGGACCUGCAGCUAAAUCCUCUUCAGGAUUUAGUCUCAGACUCUUUUUCCACAUAACUGAUUUCACCAGAGUUGCAACUUCUCCUCCAUACAAGUGCGGUAAAAACACCUAUUUCGUAAGGUUGUUGGCAGGAUUAAAUGAGGUAGCAAAUACGAAUCACCAAGCAUACAAUGUUGGCCAAUAGCUGGCAGCUAAUAUUAAUACCAGCAUUAUUUAAACAACAGCCUCUUGAAGAGGGAGCAACACCAAAUAUUACCAAGAACCAGGACUCACUAUGCACUGAAAAUCACCUGCUCUGGGCCCCACUCAGAUGCUUAAGAAUUAGUUACCUUUCAGUACUCUUAAUAAAUCUGCAAGGAAUUUAGAGUGUACUCGUAAGAAAAAAAAAUGAACUGAAGAGGAUGUCUUUUCAUUUGUUUCACUUCAGUUGUCAACAUAUCUGUUCAAAUGAUUCAUGGCUGCCAAGUGCAUUAGAAUAAGUCAACCCUAAAAUACAUUAAGUAUGCUUCAACUGCUUCAAAGUUCAGCUAAUCUUCUUUUGAAAAAUAAUUCCAGAAUAGGCAGCUCAAAACCAAAGAUCAAUGCAGAAAUCAUCAAAGGGGUUUUAAUUAAAGAAUAUCUUGUUUUAACAGAAUUAAGAUUUUCUGUAGAUAUAUAACAUAAAAAACAUUUUUCUCAAGACUACUUCUGCUUUAAAAGUUUGAUUCUCUCGUGUUGCUGAAUUAUUGGCCCU